GAUCAUGGGGGACCAACAGGCACCGAUUAUGCAUUGUUAGUGCAAGUAGCUAUAAGUAGUGCAGUGGGGCUUUAACACUCCUGGAUUUAUUUGUGUAUCAGACGUAUGUUCAGCUCAGAUUAAUUUCAUACAUUGUCUGCAUUGUUGCUUUGUUGCAUUUGAAAUAUAGCAUCAUUAUAUGAAGAGUUGCAAUUCAUCUAAUUCUGUUUACAGGUAAUACUUAUUCUACUGUCAUGUGAUUGAUUGGGUUUUCAGUUUUAUUCUGGGUAUUCUCAAAUCUUUGUGAGACAGGGCCCUGGUAUAAGCUUAGAAUAUGAUUUAUUGCAUCUUGUUAUUUGUAAACAAUCGUUAAAAAAAACAAGUUUGUUGAAACAAGGUCCUAAGGUGAGCACAGUGCACUAGGGUUCUUCAAGGGAUGCAAUUGAUUUGCAUGUACAUGUAUCACCGUGGUAGGAUUCUUGGUCCAUUCUCUUCUCACUUUUUGUUCCAUAUAUGAACUAUGUUUCUGGUUCUAUACACUGAACAUUUUGUGCGGCUAUAGAAGCAUGGUAUUUUCAGUACUAUCUGCAUUGUGUGUGUGUGUUGUAGAUAGAUAUCUUGAUAUUUACCAUCUGCUUCUGUUUAAAAAAUAUUAAAAAAAUAAAUAAAAAAUAGAGCAAUAAGUUUUGAUGUACUUGAUCUGCUUUAUGAUUCUUACACUCCAAUUAGCUCUGUCUGUAUCAUACAAUGGACUGUGGAAUCCUUUUGUUUAUUCUUUCACAUGACGUACCAGAUGCUUGCUGUGUGAGAUGGGCUACUUUAAAAAAAAAAUAGAAAAUCGCAAGAUGUCUGUCUGUACAUGUGUAUUUACAUAAAAUCGAGGAACUACGGUAAACUGUAUUAAACUGUGUAAAGUUGAGUAUUUAUUAAGAUUAAGUGAAUCAUAAGAAUCCAUUGACUACAAUACAUCAGUCUUGGGCUAACAUACUCUAGUGUGCAUGCAUAUAACUUUGGUGAAGAGAUGUUUAUCCUUUAACCUAAACGAUGAUUAGAAAUUACAUUAAUUGUGAAUCAUGAGCUAUUUUGCGAUAUUGACCUCAACUACAUUCCAUUGUUUUUUUAUUGAAGAAAACCGAUCCUUCAUUUUUUCUUGCUCGCUUUAAAUUCUUUAAACAAUUUUUUUGAACAAGUCCAAAGUGUAUGAUAAAAAAGAAAUGCAUGCCUUUAAAUGUGAUGUCUUAAAUUUUAUGGUACUGAUAUGUUUACAAAUGAGCUAACGUGUCAUGCAACAAAUAAAAUUAAGUUCACAUAUGAUAUUGUACAGUAUGUACUUUUCUAACUUGCUCAGUCUUGAGAAAGGAGAAAGUGUAUCUGGCAAUUUUUCAGAGCAAGCAUAGGUUAUUACGCAUACUGAAUGCAAUUAAUAAAGCAUUGUCCUUAUCUGUCCAUUGACUGUAGUUUCGGUCAAUUGUCACCUUUCAGUUAAUGUUCCAACUUGGAACACCCUGCUUUGGACGGACCGUGAAGGACAUUUGCAGGGCCGUAGGAGUGAAUCAUAAUUAUCCCCAAACGGUCAAGGGUUAAUGUGAUAUAUCCUUUGAGACUGUGAUUUAUGUUAGUCAGCCUGCCUGGUUAAGUUUGACUCUGAUCUGAUGUAUGUUGUGCAGGGAAGUAAAGUUCUGGCUCUUCUUAGUAAAUAGUGUAAACAUUGUUUCAAGAAUCAAGUAUCUUAAUAUUAUGGCUGUGUUAUUGUAUUGAACACAGGUGUGUACACUGUGUUCAUAUAUAUGCAGAUGGUAUAUUGGUAAGGUCUGUAAGGUAUUCCCCUGCCUUUGUUCUUCUUUGAAUGUUUAUGUGACCUUCAUGUUUUAGUUGCAUUAUGCAGAUUGUAAUUUUUAGCAGAAUGAAUGUUUUCCAUGAAUCUUGUGUGUAUAUCUUUAGAGUGUAGGUCGACAUUUUUAUGCCGUAUUUCCAUAAGUUAGCUUGAUGCACAUAGUGUGAAGGGUGUGAAUGAAAUAAAAAUACCUUUUUAAAAAUUAUUAUAUACCUUAAGAUCCCAAAACCUUGUUAGAAAUCUGUUAAAAUACUGACCAAUUUGAUUUAUCAGUCAAAAUAACUUUCUGUGUAUGGAUUAAGUAAUAUGAGUGAUAAAUUCUACUUAUCUAAAAAUUAUAUACUAGUAUGCAUUCAAAAGGUGUCAGUUUUAUUUUAAAAGAAUAUGAAAUGUUAUUUCUUGCACAACAUGAUUAUUCUCCCUUCCAGUGUGUAUAAAUGAGUAUUCUAUAUAUAGUUUUGUAUGUAAUAUUGGUGUAUUAUAUAAAUGUGGAAGGUUAAUUCUCAGAUUAAGAAAUAGAAUAUUUAUAUAUGUUGGGUCAAACAGUUAGAUACGAUACUAAUAGAGAUGUGACAAUCAUUGCAGCUUAAGCACAAAGUCUAUUAAAAAAAAUUACUUACAGGUGAUUAUAAUAAUUCAAUCAUUGCAGUUUAUCUGUGUAAAUUGGCAAAAUUUAUGAAUGAAAACCAGAUCAAUAAAUGAAUAUUGGUAUUCUCUAUGUAAAUUGCACGUGAUAUAAAAUCAUCAGUUUUUCUGACAUAUUUUCGAAUGAUUUAAUCAAAAUUAAAAAUGAGCCAGUUUCUUUUAAAUACUUUUCUUUACAAUAGCACAUCGUUAGGUACAUGCACAUUGAAUUAAAUGCACAUAGGUCAUUUUUUUUACAAGAAUUAUAAGUUGAAGCUAUUAGUUAAAAUUAGCAGUUGAAAAAUACUGCUCAGUGUAAGAAGAUCAUGCAAUGUUUCCAUUAUCUUGUGUCUUUCACCAAAAUUUAUCUUACUACCAUGUUUGAUUGAUUUUAAUUGCUGUUUGUUUUUGGAAAUUUUGUAGCAGGAUUGAAAUAUUAUUGUGGAUAAGCAGCCAAGAUAUCAAUUUAUAAAAUAUGUCUCUUUAACAAAAAAAAA